GACGAACGCUGGCGGCGUGCUUAACACAUGCAAGUCGAACGGAAAGGCCCUGCUUUUGUGGGGUGCUCGAGUGGCGAACGGGUGAGUAACACGUGAGUAACCUGCCCUUGACUUUGGGAUAACUUCAGGAAACUGGGGCUAAUACCGGAUAGGAGCUCCUGCUGCAUGGUGGGGGUUGGAAAGUUUCGGCGGUUGGGGAUGGACUCGCGGCUUAUCAGCUUGUUGGUGGGGUAGUGGCUUACCAAGGCUUUGACGGGUAGCCGGCCUGAGAGGGUGACCGGCCACAUUGGGAAUGAGAGACGGACCAGACUCCUAAGGGAGGCAGCAGUGGGGAAUAUUGCACAAUGGGCGGAAGCCUGAUGCAGCAACGCCGCGUGCGGGAUGACGGCCUUCGGGUUGUAAACCGCUUUCGCCUGUGACGAAGCGUGAGUGACGGUAAUGGGUAAAGAAGCACCGGCUAACUACGUG
rnacentral:rRNA from 1 species